rnacentral:rRNA from 1 species
GAUGAACGCUGGCGGCGUGCCUAAUACAUGCAAGUCGAGCGAACGGACGAGAAGCUUGCUUCUCUGAUGUUAGCGGCGGACGGGUGAGUAACACGUGGAUAACCUACCUAUAAGACUGGGAUAACUUCGGGAAACCGGAGCUAAUACCGGAUAAUAUUUUGAACCUCAUGGUUCAAAAGUGAAAGACGGUCUUGCUGUCACUUAGAGAUGGAUCCGCGCUGGAUUAGCUAGUUGGUAAGGUAACGGCUUACCAAGGCAACGAUGCAUAGCCGACCUGAGAGGGUGAUCGGCCACACUGGAACUGAGACACGGUCCAGACUCCUACGGGAGGCAGCAGUAGGGAAUCUUCCGCAAUGGGCGAAAGCCUGACGGAGCAGCGCCGCGUGAGUGAUGAAGGUCUUCGGAUCGUAAAACUCUGUUAUUAGGGAAGAACAUAUGUGUAAGUAACUGUGCACAUCUUGACGGUACCUAAUCAGAAAGCCACGGCUAACUACGUG